UACGGGGGGGGCAAGCGUUGUUCGGAAUUACUGGGCGUAAAGGGCUCGUAGGCGGCCAACUAAGUCGGACGUGAAAUCCCUCGGCUUAACCGGGGAACUGCGUCCGAUACUGGAUGGCUAGAGUUCGGGAGAGGGAUGCGGAAUUCCAGGUGUAGCGGUGAAAUGCGUAGAUAUCUGGAGGAACACCGGUGGCGAAGGCGGCAUCCUGGACCGACACUGACGCUAAGGAGCGAAAGCCAGGGGAGCAAACGGG
rnacentral:rRNA from 1 species